UACGGAGGGUGCGAGCGUUGUCCGGAAUUCACUGGGCGUAAAGGGCGCGUAGGCGGCGCGGAAAGUCGUCGGUGAAAGCUCCGGGGCUCAACCCUGGAGUCUGCCGGUGAUACUCCCGCGCUCGAAGCUCACUAGAGGCGAGAUGGAAUUCCUGGUGGUAAGCGGUGAAAUGCGUAGAUAUCAAGGAGGAACACCGGUGGUGUAGACGGCUUUCCUGGACCGUAACUGACGCUGAGGCAACGAAAGCGUGGGGAGCAAACAGG
rnacentral:rRNA from 1 species